UACGGGGGGGGCAGGCGUUGUUCGGAAUUACUGGGCGUAAAGGGCCAGUAGGCGGCCAACUAAGUCGGAUGUGAAAUCCCCAGGCUCAACUUGGGAACUGCAUCCGAUACUGGAUGGCUUGAAUUCGGGAGAGGGAUGCAGAAUUCCAGGUGUAGCGGUGAAAUGCGUAGAUAUCUGGAGGAAUACCGGUGGCGAAGGCGGCAUCCUGGACCGACAUUGACGCUGAACGGCGAAAGCUAGGGGAGCAAACGGG
rnacentral:rRNA from 1 species